rnacentral:sRNA from 1 species
UACAAACCCAUCGCCCCUGCUCCCAGCAGCACCCCUGGCUCCAGCACCCCUGGGCCGGGCACCCCGGUCCCUACAGGUGAGGAUCCAGCUCCACCCCUGCUCGCCUGCCGGGCGGUCGAGGUCUCGAAGAGAAGACGGCCUGAGUUCUGCAAUACUGGGCCUGCCGCCUACCCUCGCUGAGCCUCAGUUUGCUGGCCUGUGAAGUGGGCGUGGUCACGUAAGGGCUUGUAGGUGGAGCGCAGUGGGAGGGAUUUGUCCCUGAAGUUGAUCAGCAUGGAAUGAAGCAUCCUUUGGAGGGAAUCGGGCGAACCCGGUCCUGGGCUUGGAAAAGCUGGGAGGCGGCGUCCCUGCCCCGCGCUGACCUCUUACUCGCGCCUGUUGCUGCAGGAAGCGUCCCGUCGCCGUCGGGCUCAGUGCCAGGAGCCGGCGCUCCUUUUAGACCGCUGUUUAACGACUUUGGACCGCCUUCCAUGGGCUACGUGCAGGCGAUGAAGCCACCCGGCGCCCAGGGCUCCCAGAGCACCUACACGGACCUGCUGUCAGUCAUAGAGGAGAUGGGCAAAGAGAUCCGGCCCACCUAUGCUGGCAGCAAGAGCGCCAUGGAGCGCCUGAAGAGAGGUAAGUGAGGCCAGGCCGCCCUGCUCAGGAAACCGACACUGGACUAUCCUUCAUUAGGGAAGGAAGGACAUCUGGAGGCCACCUGAGCCAAGCCUAGAGGAUGUCCAGUAUUACUACCAGAGAGGUGUUUUGAAUCGAAUUGAAAUUGAGUCCA